ensembl:lincRNA Gm32479 predicted gene, 32479
AACUGUUUUUCUCAAACGUCUAUGGGCCAGACCUUGUUCAAGGUUCUUGCAAUGGGAAGAUGGGUAUUGUAACUUCCCGUUCCAGGAGUCUGCAGACUCUGGCCGAAGACCAUCAUGGUUCAGAUACUUGGCCUCUGCCGCUCUUGCUACUAUGUCAUUGCUCAGUUUUCCCACUGGGGCUUUGUACCUUGACAGCCUUGUUCUUCAGUGUUCAUCUCUCGGGAUGAACUGGAUGGUGAAGGAAGGGACAACAGAUGGCAGUGUGACUUCCUCAAAGAUCGUCACCCCUUUGGAAAUGCACAGUCUCCCCUUCCCCCAAUGUCACUGAAUCUCUUGGUGUUGUUGGCAGGAGAUCCAACUUAUGGGCCAUUCUCCACCAUGAUGGCAACCUUCCUCCAACAUGGCACACUGAGCUGUGGGGUACUACACUGCAUUGCUCGAACAGGAGAAAUGAACAGAGGUUGCAUAGACUGUCUUUUUCCCCAGAUGUUGAGAGCUGCUGGUUUUUCUUCCUCUGAGGAAGUAUUCUCUAUUUCUAUUCUAGUCUUUGGGGAAAAAAAAUGAAACAAGAGACAAGGGGGAAUGAGAACUUGUCAUCUCUGAUUUCUUUAUAGGUGCAGGGGCAUACUAUUUUUUUUUUUUUUUUUUGCCAUAAAUACAAAAUACUCUGGAUACCUGCCCACUGCAAGGGGCACCCAUGAGUCUGCCAAAAUAAACACAAUUCUGCCCUGGGUUGUGUUUUUCAACAGUGUUGAUAGAUGCUGAUUUUUAAAACUGAAUUUUAAAUGUUAUAACCACACCCGAUGGCCUGUCCUUUCUGCUGCCUCAGCGGGGACCACUUUUUAAGCAGCCAUCCUUGAGUAGGGAGGCCUGUGGAGCAGGCACUACCUUCACUGUGUUCUAAGGGAGAUCAGGGAAGGGAGGAGAGGGAUUAUGGGAAGGGGCUGUGGAGUUCUGAAAGUGAGCCAGAACCCUUGUACCCCAGGGCAACUCACAACAAUCAGAGCAGGAAUUUCCUUGGUGAUUCUGCACACACGACUUUCAUGCCUAAGCCACAGUGCUUCUGCACAUGGGUUCCAUAUGUUCGUCCUGAACUUAGCUUCCAGCUGGAACUCGCUCAGGAACAACCUGUGACAUUUUCACAUUCGAACAUGGAACAGGCCAGUGCGUCCUCGGAUGACACACCUUUGCUUUGCCACCACUUCAUGCCCUGUUGUCAUUUUACAGGGUAGGUUGAAAGGGGCCCCUAAGGUAAUCCCAGUGGGUUCCAGUGAGUGGAAAGAGCCAAUAUAAAGACAGAGGCCAAUUGUUGUAAAAGGUCAUAGUUGCUUUCACCAGUUGAAGUAGGACUGGUGGAAAGGUACCAUAGCAAUGAAAAUGAAGUAUCUCAAGAGGUGGGAACAGGCACCCUGCGUCCCAUAGCCUGUUCAGGUUUGCAACCAGUCUUCAUGCUGGAGGAGGUAGGGCUGGGGGCUCGAGAGUGUGUUUGCUUUGGCUUAAGGAGACAUUUUAAAGACAGGCUAAAAAUAGGAAGAACAGAAAGGCACCCAUGCCUUUAUCAAAGGAAAGUAUGCCGGUUACUCAUAUUGAGCGCUGCAUUCUUCCAGACUAAUGGACGUUAAUGGAAACAUUGCUCCUACUGGCUUGGUGAGACCAGCGGUAGUGGCUGUGACUGUGGGUGCCUGGAGUGGGAACUGUCUUGAGAAGGAUGACUUAGGAGAUGGAUGAGCUUCGCUGAGAAUGUUCUGGACUCACACCUCACUAGAUGGCUUGCUGUUCCAGAAGCCUCCUGCCCAGCCCUGAACAGCUGAGAAUCAACUGAGAGGCCUCUCUUGUCACAAAGGUGUCCUCUGACCCUCCUGUGAGCAAGCAGACAGAGCCCACCAGUUUUAGAAGAACCGGCUGUGCAGGUCUCACCUCUUGGGUUAGCGAAGUCAGGGAGAGACUUUGCACAAGCCAGUAUACUGGAGCCAAAUUACAGGCAUAAUUGAAAACAUUUGGAAAAUAAACAGACUCUCUCUGCAUAUACAUAUAUUUAUGUAGACAGUUCUCUUGACAUUAAGCUUGAAACUGAAAUGUCUAUGAGGGUCGGGGAAAGAGAUCCUAUUUAGUUUUGCUUUGGGUAACUUGUAUUUUCCACCAAUAAAAGAAGCCGUGUGCUUUUGUAGUUAGGGGCAUGCAUUCUUCACAGUAUUAGAACACUGCUUUUCAAGAAGCGAGCUUAUUAAUAACCACCACCACCAACAACAACAACAGUAAUAUCAGUAACAAUCAGCUAGACAAUCUGGAUGCCUGUGUUCCGUUCUGGCUCUGACACUAGGCAGUGGCUGUGACCUUGGCCAGACCACUUAGCCUUUAUUAACUUCAAUGUCCUGCUCUGAAACCUAAGGCCAUUGGCAUGGGCCAGUGCGUAUCAAGCUGGCAUCCUCGACUCAUUAGAAAUCACAAAGGCAACGUGGUGAGUUGAGAUCAAUGUUCAAAAGAAGAAUAGAAUAAAAAGGGUUGGGGUGC